GGGGGAGAGGGAUAUUUCCCGAUCAACAAAAGAUCAAAAACUGUGAAAUUACCCAUGUUCAAUUUCAGCAAGAAACAAGCAUGAAACUUGGUGUGCUCAGGUUUCCCAAAAUAAUUAAACAUAAAAAAACUUUGAUUUUUAAGGAAAAUUUCCGUUAAUAUAAAUUUCCUUGUUGAAAAACAAAUCAUAAAAGAAAACAGUUAGCAGAAAGGGAGGAGAAAAGAAAGAAGGAGAAAAAGAAAAAUAUGUUCCGAAGAAUCCAAUUCACUACCAGAGGGAGAGAAAGAGAGAGAAACAGAGAGAUCAGUUGAGAGAGAAAAGGGGUUAUGGGAU
rnacentral:misc_RNA from 1 species